rnacentral:tRNA from 1 species
GCCUGGGUGGCUCAGUGGUUGGGCGCCUGCCUUUGGCUCAGGAGACCCGGGAUCGAGUCCUAUGCCAGGCU